AGCAGUGUGGUCUAGUGGGUUGAGCAUGAGUCUGGGAGUCAGAAGGACCUGGGUUCUAAUCCCAGCUCUGCCA
rfam:Ornithorhynchus anatinus chromosome 6, whole genome shotgun sequence.